UAAAGAGACUGGUUAUUGAAGGACGGGAAAUUUCAAGGAAAGUUACAAGGAAGAAAAAGGAGGAAGAUGGUCUAAAGACGAGACUGGUUUGAUAGGGAGGGGUAUAUAUGAGUACGGAAACGUGAAGAUAUUGUCAGUGAGGACUGAGGAGCACCAAGAACUAUGGCAGCAAUAGAAAGAAGCAAAAGAGAGUUUUUUUUUUAAAGAAAGUUCAUAGCUUUACCGGAGAGGAAAAAAAAGGGAGGGAAUAAAGGUAUAAAAUGUUUAGAAUCACCACCACCACUACUGCCUUCUUAUGCCACCACCACCGUUGCUUGACAGACAAACUGCUUUUCCACACACUUACUCCGAUAAAGAAGUGAAGAGAAGCUUUUGGUAAAGAAUCAAACGAAUACCAAGUGUUUUUCUUGGUACUAGAAAGGAGAUGAGAGGAUUUAAGAAACAGGGGAGAGAGAGAGAGAGAUAAAAGAUACACAGCACAGUUG
rnacentral:lncRNA from 1 species